rnacentral:sRNA from 1 species
UUCCAUUCAUUAUUUUUCAUUUUUGUUUGAUUUGGUUAGGAAUUGAUAUAUUUCUAAGCAUGCCCGGUACAGGAGUUUUGGAGAAGAAUUUUUUAAUUUCAGGAUACUGCUCUUGAAAUGGUAUAACGAAUUUGAAAUGGUAUAAUGAAUUAGAAUGGCUAACCACUCUAGAUAAAAUAAUUCUUUCUUUUUGAGUAUUAAAAAUCAUGGAAGAGUUUAGAACGGUUUAAAGCAGCAUGUGAUGACCAAUCUUAGCUUGUUAUUUAGAGCUGCUAAGGCUACCAUGCUUUUAUGGGAUCAUUCUGGACUUGUUGUCUUCAUCCGGGAAGCAAUGGAUGUGUGGUAUAGCAUAUCACGGGAAGUAUGUGAUGAUGAAGAUGUAUCAAAUUUGGUGUUUGUGCUCUCUUUUUUUGUUAGCAUGUACUCGAAGCUGAGUUAAAAACUUAAAAAGGAGCAAUUAAAAACUUAAAAGGGAGUUAAGUACGGGUUGUAUUGUGAUUCUUUUGUAUGAUUUGCACUCUUCAAUAUCACAGCUCUAUUUACUUCUUUCAGGGGGUCUCACAAUUUGUGAUAAGAUGUAGAAGCAGCUGCUAUCUUAUAGCGGGCUAUAUUUGUCAAGUCCCUUAAUCUCAGAAAUUGUUAUUUGCUAAUAGAUAUGUGGGGGACAGGUUUUGGAAGCAGUGGAUGGAGAUCCUGGGAAAGUUUAGUGAAGACUAGACUUACUUUGGA